CCUACGGGUGGCAGCAGUGAGGAAUAUUGGUCAAUGGGCUUACGCCUGAACCAGCCAAGUCGCGUGAGGGAAGACUGCCCUAUGGGUUGUAAACCUCUUUUGCCGGGGAGCAAGCGUGCGUUCGUGAACGCGCGUCGAGAGUACCCGUAGAAAAAGCAUCGGCUAACUCCGUGCCAGCAGCCGCGGUAAUACGGAGGAUGCGAGCGUUAUCCGGAUUUAUUGGGUUUAAAGGGUGCGUAGGCGGGAUGCCAAGUCAGCGGUAAAAAUGCGGUGCUCAACGCCGUCGAGCCGUUGAAACUGGCGUUCUUGAGUGGGCGAGAGGUAUGCGGAAUGCGUGGUGUAGCGGUGAAAUGCAUAGAUAUCACGCAGAACUCCGAUUGCGAAGGCAGCAUACCGGCGCCCUACUGACGCUGAGGCACGAAAGCGUGGGUAUCGAACAGGAUUAGAUACCCGGGUAGUC
rnacentral:rRNA from 1 species